CUUGCACUCGUGGAUCAGUGGCGAACGGGUGAGUAACACGUGAGUAACCUGCCCUCCACUCUGGGAUAAGCGCUGGAAACGGCGUCUAAUACCGGAUAUGACCGACCCUCGCAUGGGGUGUUGGUGGAAAGAUUUAUCGGUGGUGGAUGGACUCGCGGCCUAUCAGCUUGUUGGUGGGGUAAAGGCCUACCAAGGCGACGACGGGUAGCCGGCCUGAGAGGGCGACCGGCCACACUGGGACUGAGACACGGCCCAGACUCCUACGGGAGGCAGCAGUGGGGAAUAUUGCACAAUGGGCGAAAGCCUGAUGCAGCGACGCCGCGUGAGGGAUGACGGCCUUCGGGUUGUAAACCUCUUUCAGCAGGGAAGAAGCUUUUGUGACGGUACCUGCAGAAGAAGCACCGGCUAACUACGUGCCAGCAGCCGCGGUAAUACGUAGGGUGCGAGCGUUGUCCGGAAUUAUUGGGCGUAAAGAGCUUGUAGGCGGUCUGUCGCGUCUGCUGUGAAAAUCUAGGGCUUAACCCUGGACGUGCAGUGGGUACGGGCAAACUAGAGUAUGGUAGGGGAGACUGGAAUUCCUGGUGUAGCGGUGGAAUGCGCAGAUAUCAGGAGGAACACCGAUGGCGAAGGCAGGUCUCUGGGCCAUUACUGACGCUGAGAAGCGAAAGCAUGGGGAGCGAACAGGAUUAGAUACCCUGGUAGUCCAUGCCGUAAACGUUGGGCGCUAGGC
rnacentral:rRNA from 1 species